rnacentral:misc_RNA from 1 species
GUGAACCUGCGGAAGGAUCAUUAUCGAGUUUUGAAACGGGUUGUAGCUGUCCUUCGUAAGGAGGUACGUGCACGCCUUGCUCAUCCACUCUCAAACCCCUGUGCACUUUUUGUAGGCUUGGUGGGAUAGGCUGACUUCGGUCGGCUUUGAAUGCCUCGCCUAUGUAUUAAAACAAACGCUUCAGUUUAGAAUGUAACCUUGCAUAAUAAGCAAAUAAAUACAACUUUCAGCAACGGAUCUCUUGGCUCUCGCAUCGAUGAAGAACGCAGCGAAAUGCGAUAAGUAAUGUGAAUUGCAGAAUUCAGUGAAUCAUCGAAUCUUUGAACGCACCUUGCGCUCCUUGGUAUUCCGAGGAGCAUGCCUGUUUGAGUGUCAUGGUAUCAUCAACCUUCAACACUUUUGUGUCUGUAGGCUUGGACUUGGAGGUCGUGUCGGCGUUCGCGUCGGCUCCUCUGAAAUGCAUUAGCGUGAAUCUUACGAAUCGCCCUCGGUGUGAUAAUUUCUACGCCGUAGACGUGCAGUAUAUAGUGUUCGUGCUUACAACCGUCUGCAAAGACAACAUCAUUGACAAUCUGACCUCAAAUCAGGUAGGACUACCCGCUGAACUUAAGCAUAUC